rnacentral:rRNA from 1 species
GACGAACGCUGGCGGCGUGCCUAACACAUGCAAGUCGAACGGAGAUACGAUUUCGGUUGUAUCUUAGUGGCGAACGGGUGAGUAACGCGUGAACAACCUGACUCUUAGAGGGGGAUAACACUCGGAAACGGGUGCUAAUACCGCAUAAGACCACGACCCGGCAUCGGGAUGAGGUCAAAGGAGCAAUCCGCUGAGAGAGGGGUUCGCGUCCCAUUAGAUAGAUGGCGGGGUAACGGCCCACCAUGUCAACGAUGGGUAGCCGAGCUGAGAGGAUGAUCGGCCACACUGGAACUGCGGCACGGUCCGGACUCCUACGGGAGGCAGCAGUGGGGAGUAUUGGGCAAUGGGCGCAAGCCUGACCCAGCAACGCCGCGUGAGGGAAGAAGGCUUUCGGGUUGUACACCUCUGUCCUUGGUGACGAAACAAAUGACGGUAGCCAAGGAGGAAGCCCCGGCUAACUACGUGCCAGCCGCCGCCGUAACAC